UGCCUUCUGAAGAAAAAAAACCAACACAUUAUCUAUCAUUGUCUCAAUAGAAGUGAUUUAAAUAACUGUGCCAAUCAAUUAUCUGUAGGAUUUUACAUUGAUUUAUCUAAAGCGUUUGUUGAUAUUCAAAAUCUAUUUGGCAGCUUUGGUCAGAGCAGCGUGUAGGAGAACUGAGACUUAUCAGGCUAUAUUCCUCAUCUGAGUUAUUUAUUUCCUUACUGUUGUGAAGCUGCCUUCUUUGUGAGCACUGGUUUUACUGGAAGGGUACUGCUACGUCAAGCUGAGGGCUCCAUGUGUUUGCUCUGUACCCAGGGGCAACCUGGCCUCUUCCAGCAUCACAGCUGAAGUAGGCGUGGAAUGAAGUGGUGCAAAGGGUCAAGGCUUUGUACCCAGGAGGAGGGUAUCUAUUAUAAUCCUCACUAGAGCAGAACAUCAGGAGGAAUUUGAACCCUUCAGUAAUACACUUUUGUGCUUGGGAUUGUUUUUUAAUUCAAACAGCUUACCUCAAGAAGUGGCAGUUUCCAGGACAUCAGAAUGGAUUCUUCCUUGACUGCUAAUUAAGGGAGGGACUGAACUAUACAGUCUGACUGCAGGCGGUGCCAAUUUCCCAGCUCACCAGUGAACAUCUUCCUAUUUUCAGGUUUUCUCUCCCUUUGCAGUUGGCUGAGAACUAUUUCCUGAAUGCAUUAGCCUAUGCUUAACCCCCUCCAUGUGCCCAAUCAACUGCUUAACCAGAAAGCUACAUAGAUUUAAGUUACUGUGUAACUCACAGUACUGCAGAGCACUUUUUAGCACAGAGGGCUACCAACAUACACACACCUACUUCAAAGUACUCGUUCAGAUAAACAGUCUUUGAAAUGUAGCAUCGCAGCAAUUCAGCUAAUUGGGGCUCCAGUGGUAACGAGCUUAUAGUAUGCUCCUUCCAUUGCCAUCAGUUCAUCAUGAGUGCCCCUUUCAAUGAUGAUUCCUUGUGACAUCACAGCAAUGAUGUCAGCAUUCUCGAUUGUGGACAGGCGGUGGGCAAUGACAAUGCAGGUGCGCCCUUCUCUGGCCUUAUCCAGUGCUGCUUGCACAGUCUAAGAGCAACAAAGAAAGCAUCAGAGUGAAAAUGGGCAAAUCAAAUUGGGGCUCAGAGCUGGAGAGAUCCGAUUGCUUCAGACUAAUUAACUAUAUUGUGCAAUAUUUGUACUAAAAAGGGAAAGGUAAAAAUACAGUAAGAAUCAAACUGUAAGGAAAGUCUUUUUUUCAGCUGACAUACUCAGCUUGGAUGUGCUUCUAAAUUUCUACCAAUUCUCUAAUAUUCAAGUGAGUGUGACCAAGCCAAGGAAUUUAUUGUCCAGCUCUCAGGCCCUGCACUGCUGUUUUUAUUGGAUAUUCAGACUCAUCAUCAGACACUUCUGUGCUGGUUUAGUUUGUUUUUAUGUGCAAAAGCUGUAUUUAUGACAGAUUCCCACUGAAUGCUGUGAAACCCAGGGAAUUAGUAUGCACAGUAGACAGAAAGUACUGCUUCUUAAUGAUAGUUUAAGAGUCUCUGUAGCUAGCUAUUGACUUUAUAGCCAUACUUCCUCAAUCUUUCAAAAAAGAUCAUUAAAAGUGUAAGUGCUGAAUUAGCAGUGGUCAUGUAAUGACCACUAUGCUGUGGUAAUGUGAUCUUUGUACAGCAGGAUGUCUCCACAGAUCAGAAGGUGGCAUUGUACUUUGUAAGCCAUCGCAUUAAUUUUCCCUUAUUUCUUAUCAUUGCAAACUUACCUUUUCACUUUCUGUGUCUAAGGCAGAUGUAGCUUCAUCCAAUAAUAAAAUUUUAGGAUCUCGUAUGAUGGCCCUCGCUAUAGCAAUACGUUGUUUUUGCCCACGAGACAGCUGAGAUCCUUGAGCACCAACAUUAGUUUCAUAUUUCUGAAAAAUAUGCCAAAGGAAGAUCUUUAUCUAGCUGUAAACAAACAAGUGCACAAGCUCAAGGAGCAGCAGAGGAGAGAGGCGGGAGUUCUGACCAUUGCUGUCUCCUCCUUAAAGAAUCUGGGAAGACAGAAAUACUUUAAGAGCGAUACAGAUGUUCAGGGAGAUAUCUUUGAACCAUGUUUUGUAGUAUGGUAACAGGCCUGAAAAAUUUGAUGGCAAGAUGAUGAUUGAUUUGUGUGAAGCAAAAGAAAUCCCUGGCCUAGAUUUGGGAGAAGAGGCUAAAAGAGACUGUGGGGCUCACUGGACAAGAGCUUUGUUUGCAUGCAUAAAUUAUAUACGUAUCUUUCAUGUUCUUAUCAUUUAUGUCUGUAUGAUUUCAGUGCAUUUAAAUACCUCCCCCGUGUGCAUAAGCAGCCAGCUUCAAGUGUUUUGACUGAGGUAUUGUACCCUAAUUGCAGGGCAGCACUCCCACAGCUGAGAACAGGAUCUGUAUUUCCUGUAUAAUACUGUAUAAUGCUUACCAAUAAUGCUGUAUAAUGCUUACAACACUGUAGAAUGCUUUGACUGCUGAACAAUACUUCCUCUUUUUUCUUAUCAAUUGCUUUGAGAAUCUUCCCUUUUCUCCUAAUUUAGAAUCAUAUUAUUUUUAGUCUUAGAAACGUUUGCCUACUGUGUAAGAAAACAGAACAACUCACACCUAAGCUCUCGGAAACAAAGAGUGGUCUUUUCUCCUACCAUUCUAGUUGUAAAGGAAAGACAUAAAAUAUUUACUGCAGCAAUUUCAACUGGUUUUGGUGCAACCCUCUGCAAUGACCAGCUGAACAGUGUGCCCCCGCAGCCAAGCCUCAGGUGUACUUACUUCAGGAAGUGACAUGACAAAAUCAUGCAGCUGAGCCUUCUUGGCUGCUUCUAUGACUUUUUCCAUUGUCGUGUCCUUAGUGUUACUGCCAUACUUAAUGUUGUCAGCAAUGCUGCAGUCGAAUAGCACAGGUUCCUGAGACACUACUCCAAUUUUUGAUCUGAGAAACUGUACAUUUACUUUCUUGGUGUCAUGCCCAUCUAUUAACUACCAGGAAAUAGGAGAAAACAUAAAACGUCAUUCCAAAAUGACCUGCAAAGCCAGUUAGUUUACAGUAUAAGUAAAUGAUUUGUUAAUAAACUACAAGCAAGACUGACAUGAGGUAAUUUGAAGUAUCUCUUACAUUUGACCUCUUUAUACAUGACGAAUACUUUCCAGCUGUGUCUGUCAUCCAGCCAAACUCUAUACCAUCUGAUUACUCUUAACUCCAACUGAACUUUUACUGCCUCAGGUUAGGCACAUGUUUUGUUGCCUUGCCAGGCUUAAUGAUCACCACCCUUAUUUUUGUCAAUGGAUGAGAUUCUGACUGGAUGAUUAAGUUUUUAUAAGGAAGAGUUAUAAAAGCUAGAUAACUAUAAUCUGCAAAGAAGCUGCAUGUUAAAACUAUAUAUUAGUUAGUGAAGUUCCAGAUUCCACUGCUUCAGCCAAGCUUGAUUCUUGUUUGUGUUCCCGCAACAUCAGCCACACGUUGUAUGGUUCAUACUGGAGCUACCAACGUGAUUUCCUGAGGCCUUUAUAAUGCAGGAGGUGAGUAGUGUUCUUAUUUUUCCUCAGUACAUCUGACGUGAUGCCCAGAGUUUGAACAGUCCUCCUUUGAAAAGGAGCUGAAAACCCAAGCUGCAUGUGUAGAGACACAGUGCUAGGUUCCACGUUUGGACACAGUCAGAAGAGUCCAUGUAGCAUUGAUGAAGACAACAGUACACAAAUCAUGUUUUCUCUGCUUACCACACUUCCUUUCUCAGGAUCAUAGAAACGCUCCAGAAGCUGGACACUGGUGCUCUUACCACAGCCGCUACUGCCAACAAAUGCCAAUGUCUGUCCAGGCUUAACAGCUACAGUCAGUCCUUUCAGGACCUGAAUAUCAGGCCGCGAGGGGUAUGUGAAUUUACAGUUAAGAAAUUCAAUGCUCCCCUUAAAAUCAUCCUAGUGAAAAAAUGAGAAACACUGCAAUGAUCUCAAGCUCAAAACUGAGUCAUAAAGUAGAAAACAACUCCUCCUCAAAUUCAUUUCUUGCAUCUGUUAUUCAAAAUGUUAUAGCAGUGCUCGUGAAAUUAGCAUAGAAAGAGUCAUUAUAAACUUACUGGCACAGCUGUUCUACAAGGUGAAGUCAUUAGUCAUUAAACCGAAGCUCUACUGACACAUCCCUGUACUACACCGGCCUGAAGGAACAACUGGAAGUGGGAUUACCUUGCCAACUAGUAAGUUACUCAUUUUAAUACAGAUACUGUAUAAGUACAAAUUUGGUGACUGUAUAAAGAUAUUUAUGUGAAAAGUUUUCGUUUUUGUUUUAGAUCUACUAAACUUUGUGAUGUUAAAACAAUAUGUGAAUUCUGGUCAAUUUAACGUAUUUGGGACAAAUAUUUCAAGAAUUCCUUUAAAGCUGAAAGAAAGCUAAAUACAUCUUUUUAAUUUGCUACGUCUGAGUUUUCCACUGACCUAAAACAUUUUCAUUUUGUCCUAUUCAGAAUUUUUUUUCCUUCUCAUGAACACUUCCAACUUCUAUAUGAACUAAAAAAAAAAAGCAUUACACAGUGGCUGUAAUAACUAUCAGAAAGCAAAAGCACGCUGUUUGGUGAAUCAUUCAAAUUACUGCUAUUGCAAUCCACAGGAGUUUUACAUAAAUUCCUAAUAGCCAUGCUUUAUGUUACUCUUGCUGCCUACUACAGAGCUCACUGCUUCCAAAAGAGCAGAUGUAUCAAUUAUUUGGACAGAAUAACCUUACUGUAAAGUAGUGAUCCCCAGUGUUUUUAAAUUGUUACUGCAACGUCAGUGCUUAUUUUGAGCUGAGUGACAUCUCAUACCACUCAUCUAUCUCCACACUUACCCAUUUUUCUCCUUUUUUGCUGUAAACACUGAUUUUAGGAAGCCGAUCGACGAGUUGAAACAAGCGUGCAGCAGAUGUUUUGGCUUUGGCAUAGUUCGGGGUGUAGGAAGAAGCUCUUCCCAAAGAAGUCCCACUGGUCACGACUGCAGAGAUCACUCUGUAGGAAAAGUGAACAUGGUUACUCUUGGGCAGCCAUCAGGAAGCUGUGUGCUCUGCCCAAACCAGCACCAGGAGAGGAGCCUGUGCCUGGCCCCAUGCAGGGUCUUACCUGAACACAAAGCUGUAAUGGAGCCCCUCAGUUUGAACCAGAAAGCCUCCAUAUCUGUAAGAUACGGAGUUGGCUAUGAACACUAUGCUCUGGGCGAAGCCAAAGCAGAUUCCAUAAACGUUUGCUUUUUUGAUUGCAGCUCUGUACGGCAUAUCCAGGUUCUUCUCAAAAGCAUCAAUAAACUUUUUUUCUUUCCCUAUCCCAGCCACAGUUCUGAUGUUAGAGAGAGCUUCACUGGAAAUCUGGAGGAGAAAAAAAAAAGAAUAGUAAAAUGCUUAUCCCUGCUUAUCUCAAGUAAUUUUAUUUGGAAAUUGGUUUAACAAUGCUGUCGUUUGCCUGGAGUUCACAAGUAGUUUCAUGAAUUCUAAGGGACACCCUGAGCUACUUGCAGAGCUGAACAGGGCAAGGGCCCCAUCCACCCAUUUGCUGCACAGAUAUGGACAGGAGGCUGAAGACACAUCUCUGAGAGCUUAGCAGGAAAACCACUUGCUUUGGAACCAAAUGAAACGGUUCACCUCUAACAAAGCAUCCAUUCAGUGAAGUAUACUAAUAGCUCAGCAUAAUUUAAUCCUCAUCUCCUAAGGAAUUCAGCACGUGGGUUGAGUGGGCCCCUUUCCCAAACUGGAACUCACACUGAAACUGACUGCCUGAAUCCCCAGCUGGUGCACCAGCCAGUCCUGUCAAUUGGUUCUUUAUGUGGGCUGUCGCUUUAAAUCAAAGCAGCAAGGAACAGCUUUGAUACAGCAUGAACAGUAUCAUCCUGUAAACAAGACUGGUGAACCUUGUGACAAUACCAGCCUGACAUGCUUUUGAAAUAAACACAUAAGCACUGUGGCAAAGAGCUAACUCAUCUUCAGAAGGAAAACAAAGAGAGCUCCUUGAUGCUAAUUCCAGUUUCACUGAUGGCUGAUAUUAAUUCAAUUUAUUUUUGUGUAAUUUUCAGGUAAUACAGACACCAAUAGUGGUCAAUGAACUGUGAUUCUAGUUAUGCUUUUAGGUAAACACAGUGAUAAUAGUUCCAAGUUCACAGUCUAUGAAAAACGGCAAAAGCUUAAUUGACUGAUCAAGGACUGGCCUACGCUGACUUUGCUUUUCUCAUGCUCGUUAAUUUCUGUGAUGAUGUGUCAAAAUAGGCCUUCAAUCUGUGCUUAUAUUAAAAGAAUUAUGAAGGUCUUACCCCUUGGACCUGUGAUGCAUCGGUUGCAAGCCUCGUAGUCAGUGCCCCAGGGCUGUUCCUCCGGUCAUCAAACCAGCCGAUGUCUUGCCCUAGCAUAGCCUGGAAACCAAUUUUCCUUAACCGUCUCGUAAGCAGCUCACCAGACUUGGCAAAGUUGUAUCCCUGAAGCACAAACAGUAAACAAAAAGGAUUGUACAGAAAGAGAUACACGCAGAAAAUGGGAUCAGAAACAAAAUUUACUUACAUUGCACUGUUAUUACCUGUAAAAACUGUGUAAAAAAUGAAACAAUUCCAACCAAGACAAACAGCAGGCAGACACCAUUGAUCUGGACUUUUUGUUCUUCCUCAUCAAGAAUGGAGAAGGUCUUCAGGGGGAAAAAAAAAAAAGGAAAAAAAAAAGGAUAACAUAAUAUUAGAAGAGCCUGUUUUUAUAAGACCACCACCAAAGGAAGUUACAAGCUGAGCCCAAGGGAGAGGACUGCAUUUGGUCUUAUUGGCUCAAGGACAAGUUCUGGUGACCUAGGAACUUACUGCUCUCCUCUGAGUUCUGGCCAGGAGGAGAGGGGACAAAAGGAAGGCUUAUUCUGCUGCCUUUGGGCAGACAUGUCUUCCUAGGAGGUGAAACAUCUGUAUGUUCAUUGCUGUUUCCAAAACCAUUUGUUCAUGACUCUACUGCUCCCCCAAGAAUCACAGUUACCACACAGGGCUCUCCCUCCCCCCUCACAAAUGCCAACUUCCAUAUUUCUCUAGGCUACACCUGGGUACAGAAUAUUGAUUUUUUUACUCCUCUUAAACAAGUUUGUUACAGUCUCUGUUUGCAUAUACUGAUUAUUUUCUGUCCAUGCAUAGUUAAUAAUUAAUAGUUUAAUUAAUAGUUUAUAUUAAUUAAUAGCUAAUAAUUAGUAGUUUAUAAUUAAUAGUUUAUAAUUAAUCACACACACACCAAAGGUCAAUAACCAGAAGGGCAAUAACAUUAAUGGCAUAGAGACAAAGCAAUUACAGCAGCCUCCAUAUCUCCUCUCUAAUCUAUGACAACUGCAACCUUAUUGAGCCAUACAAAGUACUCAUAAGUAGUUAUACCUUAGGAUGGCUCCUUGCAUAACACUAAUCGAUGCCACAAUUGCUCUAAGUAGGCUUCAAGAGAAGCCAGUGUCUUUUACUGAAGGUGUGUGGAUACAAGCUAUUUGCUCACUGAUGGCUACUUGAGGAAGAGCUUUAGAACUUAAAGCAGAGCCCCUCCAUCCUCAUCCACUCCAAUCUCCAUUAUAUUUUCCUUUUAUCUGUUGUUCUUUAUAUCUAUCUCAUCUUUUCCAACAACUGCUGGUGUUACUGGCUGCUGCUGAAGCAGUGGAACACGUCUAAGAAGCCAUUUUUACCAAUUACUUUCCCUCACAACAGUUGAUAUUUAUGUCAGUUAACCUACCUGAACUGCUGGAACUGCUUAUGCUACUUGCAGGGAUAAGCCACAGCUCGUGGCUGUACUUCUCCACUAAUGUUAAAUUCAUUCUAACUGGAUUUCUCUCUUGCUAUAAAUUGCUUAAUCUCUCGCCUUCUCAGCCUAUCCUCUGCGCAGCUAGAAAAGCCAUGCACUGAAGUACAUGCCUACACUCACCCUAAACUGAGAGCGGUAAUUGUCCUGCAAUUAAGAAGCAACAGUGGUUGGAAAGAGAUCUCUGUACUGCAAACAGUUCAAACAUAUUUCCAAUUGAAUUUCACUGGAAAAUGAUUAAUUUCCCAUGCUUGGACAGUUUCACAAUGAGAACCAUAGAACAGCUGAGAAGAAACAACCAAGUAAAGUGUUCCCCGUUGUAAGCUUCUGAUUUGAACAGAACAACUAAAGAGAGACAUGCAGUAUUAUCCAGCUCUUCGCUGACUUCUUAGGACUAAUUUUUUAGCACCUUCAAAAGGCAGACUUUGCUAAAUUCACUCUUUCAUUCUGCAGUUGUAAGAACUUUUUCCCAUUGUUUCUCUAGUCUAUUAUUCCCACAGCACGAGCCCACAUACCUGGCACAACAUCACUGCAGACAGUCAAGCAGUUUGAAAGGCAGAUGUCUGUUCCAUCUGCCUGCCUUCCUUGGCAGCAGGCAGAAAUUUCUUAAAUUUAUGAAUAAUAAAACACAGAUAUUGGACUUUGCUCAUGUUGGCUAUGGCUUCUUUUUUUUCUUGCAAUCUCUUUCUUUUGCUGAACUCAGACAUUCAAGAGAAGGAAUUCAUCCACAAUAAAGGAAUUCAGCAUCCUAUAGGAUGACUCAAGUCUUGACUUCGCAGUGUUAGGAAAACCCAACUCUCAA